UUCUCUCUCGUGGGUAACCGACUGCAGCACCUGGAGGUCAAGGCAGUGGCAGGCAUCCGGACAGCAGGCAUGCGGUUGCUGUUGUUCGAUAACCCCUGGACACGUGACUGUGACCUGCAGUGAGCCUUCGGAAAGUUGGGUCACCUGCGGCACUUGAGUGUCAUAGACCUGGGCAACCUGACUUGCGCUGGGCCCGAAAGGCUGUCAGGGGUAGUGCUGAGUGGUGUGGAGGCCCAGCUUUGCCUGGCUGAGACUGCCACUGUGCUGGGCAUCACAGGCACCGUGCUGCUCACAGUGGCUGUGGCUGUGCUGAUGGCUGAGCGCAAGCGAAGACAGGGCCCGCAAGAAGCCGGGGAGCUGGGGAGCUUUCUGGAGAGACUAUUUAAUCAGCAGGCAGAUCAACAGGCCAGAAUUUCCACCAUAACUGCAAACUUGAAUGCGGAUGAAUGGAUUACAACAUGGUCAAACCUUGCAAUGAGA
rnacentral:sRNA from 1 species